GGAGAGGUGGCAGAGUGGUUUAUCGCGUAACAUUGGAAAUGUUAUAAAGUUUUUUUUCAGGGGUUCGAAUCCCCUCCUCUCCU
rnacentral:tRNA from 1 species